rnacentral:tRNA from 1 species
CGUUAAGUUAUUGAAGGCUGCUAACUUUCGAUAUAGUGAAUAACUACUUAAUAA